rnacentral:misc_RNA from 1 species
CUGAAAAGGGUCUGUAUUGAAGAAGAAGAGAGAGACAGAGAGAUUUGAUUUCGUUUUCUACAUCUAAACGAUUAUAGCAAAAACGAUCUCUUUGACACCUAAGCUAAAGAAGAAAUAAAAAUUUCUUUUCUUUCCUUUCAUCUUGUUGAUUCACACUUCCUUUUCUGUUCACACCACUUCGUAUAAAUCUUUCAUCUUCUUUCUCUCUUCAUCUUUUUCCUUUCGAUCCCUCUUAUCUAUCUAUCUAUCUUUUUGGUGGGUGAGAUCUUGUUUUGUCUCAAUUAUUUGUUGUUGCUUUGUAUUUGUUUGUGUAAUGGAAGGAUAUCUUCAUCAGCAUCAUCACAUCAGUGUUAACGUUGAUACUGAUAGGUUUCCUCAAUGGAGUAUCCAAGAAACGAAGGAAUUCUUGAUGAUCCGAGCAGGACUGGAUCAAACUUUCAUGGAGACCAAAAGAAACAAGCUUCUUUGGGAAGUGGUAGCUAACAAAAUGAAGGAAAAGGGUUUUCAUCGCAGCUCAGAGCAGUGCAAGUGCAAGUGGAAAAACCUCGUUACUCGUUAC